UACAUGAGAGUCGAGCGGUAACAUGUGUCGUAGCUUGCUACCCGCUGAACGAGCGGCGGACGGGUGAGUAAUGCAUAGGAAUCUGCCCGGUAGUGGGGGAUAACCUGGGGAAACCCAGGCUAAUACCGCAUACGUCCUACUGGAGAAAGGGGGCUCCGGCUCCCGCUAUUGGAUGAGCCUAUGUCGGAUUAGAUAGUUGGUGAGGUAUUAGCUCACCAGGGGGACGAUCCGUAUCUGGUCUGAGAGGAUGAUCAGCCACAUCGGGACUGAGACACGGCCCGAACUCCUACGGGAGGCAGCAGUGGGGAAUAUUGGACAAUGGGGGCAACCCUGAUCCAGCCAUGCCGCGUGUGUGAAGAAGGCCCUCGGGUUGUAAAGCACUUUCACCGAGGAAG
rnacentral:rRNA from 1 species